GGCCUUGAAAGUGUAAACAUGUCGAACU
rnacentral:tRNA from 1 species